GAUGAACGCUGACAGAAUGCUUAACACAUGCAAGUCUUUGGCGAAUCUGUGCUUGCACAGGCUAGCCAAGGCGGACGGGUGAGUAACGCGUAAAGAACUUGCCCUGCAGACAGGGAUAACAGACGGAAACGACUGAUAACACCUGAUACAGUUGCCGGCACGCAUGUGCCUGGCAAUGAAAAGAGAUGCUGCAGGAGAGCUUUGCGUCCUAUUAGCUUGUUGGUGAGGUGACGGCUCACCAAGGCGAUGAUAGGUAGCCGGCCUGAGAGGGUGAACGGCCACAAGGGGACUGAGAUACGGCACUUACUCCUACGGGAGGCAGCAGUGGGGAAUAUUGGACAAUGGGGGCAACCCUGAUCAAGCAAUUCUGUGUGCACGAAGAAGGUUUUCGGAUUGUAAAGUGCUUUCAGCAGGGAAGAAGAAAGUGACGGUACCUGCAGAAGAAGCGACGGCUAAAUACGUG
rnacentral:rRNA from 1 species